AAGGAGCACCACGAAAAGCACCCCAACAAGUGGGGUGCGAGCCGUGAGGGGUUCUCGUCUGUAGUGGACGGGGGCCGGGUGCAACAACAAGCAAAGCCAGACACACUAUUGGGUCCUGAGGCAACACUCGGACGCUGUUUUCGAGGGUUGUCCCACCAUCUUGGUGGUGGGGUGUGGUGUUUGAGAAUUGGAUAGUGGUUGCGAGCAUCAAAAUGUAUGCGUUGCCGUUCGCGGUGGCGCGUUGUUUUGUGCAAUUUUAUUCUUUGGUUUUUGUAGU
rnacentral:misc_RNA from 1 species